rnacentral:rRNA from 1 species
UACGGAGGGUGCAAGCGUUAUCCGGAAUCAUUGGGUUUAAAGGGUCCGCAGGCGGAUUUAUAAGUCAGUGGUGAAAGCCCGUCGCUCAACGACGGAACUGCCAUUGAUACUGUAAGUCUUGAAUUCGAUCGAAGUGGGCGGAAUAUGACAUGUAGCGGUGAAAUGCUUAGAUAUGUCAUAGAACACCGAUAGCGAAGGCAGCUCACUAGGUCUGGAUUGACGCUCAGGGACGAAAGCGUGGGGAGCAAACAGGAUUAGAUACCCUGGUAGUCCACGCCGUAAACUAUCAAUACUCGUUUUCGGGGACUUCGGUCUUCGGAGACUAAGCGAAAGUGAUAAGUAUUGCACCUGGGGAGUACGAUCGCAAGGUUGAA